AAAGGGGCUGUUAACUAUUUCUUCUAGUGAUACUACUACAAAGGUCUACGGGCUACGGCUCGCAAAAAGUCGAACUUUUUGCUGACCAAAAGUUGAACACAGGCUUUAAUUGAGCAGCCCUUGCCCAAUCGAGGAGAAGAGUGAGUAAGGUUUCCCCUUCAGUGGGCCAGGUUUAACCCCAUCGAACACGUUUCGUGCUAAAUAGGCCGAAUUCGAAGAAAAAGGCUUUACUAUCGAAGCAUUUCGGGAUUCUUGCUUUCGCUUUGGCCAUGAUUUCAGGGAGAAUGUCGUGUUGGUCCCAAGCUGGGCGAGGCCAAACUAGAUAAAUGGUGUGAUCGUUUGAGCUGAGUGGAACGUAGUUGUCGAUCCAUUAUUGGGCAGGAAGAGGAGGAAAAAUCACCUUUCCAUUACAAUCCAAUGAAUCUGCUCUCACCACAAUAGAAGACCACCAAGAUUCGGAGAUUCGGACGGGUAGGCGACACUGUUCCGGCUAAGCUCAUCCCAAGAAAUUGUCGAUACAAAGACCCCGCCUUUUCAUGGUCCAAAUGAAGACUAUAUGCACGAAUUCCUUUUGGACAAAUUUGGGGUGUUCACACCCAACUUGAAGGCAAACGACGAUUUAAGAUGUUCAAUGCUAGUUCUUGCUAUGCGGCAUUUUUUGUGGCUAGUUCACCAGAACCGCGAAAGAGCCAGCAAGAAAGCGGAAAGAGUUGCUGACUGUGGAGGUUUGUUUGUCUCCAAAUUGCGAAAACCCCUUCAAACUUACAAAAGCAUUGAGGCAUUGAGUCUAAUUUCUGGCGAGGGCAUUAAAUCAGG